ensembl:lncRNA MIR924HG MIR924 host gene
GAACGGCAGGCGGGAAGUGCUCUAGCAGGGGAGUCUGACCUUGUGAGGGAAUACCUGUGUCCCCCCUUUUUUCCCCUUUUUACCCAAUAAAACCCUGCCUUACUCACCCUUUAAAUCAUCUGCGAGCCUGAAUUUUCAUGGCCGUGGGACGGACAAGAACUUUAUCUUCAGCUGAACUAAGAAAAAGUCCUGCAACAUUUUUGGCGCGCAAUGUGGGGGCACCAGAAGCGGGCACCGUUGAGCUGUUGCAACUGUUCUGCUGAUUUCUAUCAUGGAAAAUAUCCCUGCAAGCAGUAACCACUAUUUGAAUGGUGAAAUCAGCAGCACAGCAAACAUGGUUCUUAAUGAGGAAGUCGGGACUCCAAAAAUGAGACAACUAUGAUGAUACAUCCCCUUAAAGGUUCUUCAUUGUACUAUGGAUUUUUUAAAAUUGUAAGUCAAGUUCCAAGUUCUGUGAAUCUACUGAUUUUAAGUCUGUGACUCAAACUGUGCCACAAGGAGUGCGUCUUUUCUGUUUCCCUAGGCUGCUAACAAUCUAAAUUCCUCACAUCAUAUCUCCCUAUCAUCUCUAAAUUGUACACCUGCCUGGCCAAUGUCUUUACUUUCCUAGAAUACGAAAGGUAUUUGUUUAAGCUUUAUGAAAGGGAAGAAGAAAGGAAAGAAAGAAGGAAGGAAGGAAAAAGGAAGAAAUGAGAAAGAGAGAGAAAGAAAGAAAGCAAGAAAGAAAGAGAAAGAAAGCAAGAAAGAAAGAGAAAGAAAGAAAGAGAAAGAAAGAAAA